AGCAGCCGCGGUAAUUCCAGCUCCAAUAGCGUAUAUUAAAGUUGUUGCAGUUAAAAAGCUCGUAGUUGAAUUUCGGGAUUGGCGCAUCGGUCGUGCCUUACGGGGUAUGAACUGGUGCAGUCAAUUUCUCACCUUCUGGAGAACCGCGAUGUCCUUAAUUGGGUGCCGCGGGGAACCAGGACCCUUACUUUGAAAAAAUUAGAGUGUUUAAAGCAGGCAUUUUUGCUUGAAUACAUUAGCAUGGAAUAAUAAAAUAGGACGGCAUGGUUCUAUUUUGUUGGUUUCUAGGACCACCGUAAUGAUUAAUAGGGAUAGUUGGGGGCAUUAGUAUUCAAUUGUCAGAGGUGAAAUUCUUGGAUUUAUUGAAGACUAACUACUGCGAAAGCAUUUGCCAAGGAUGUUUUCAUUAAUCAAGAACGAAAGUUAGGGGAUCGAAGACGAUCAGAUACCGUCGUAGUCUUAACCAUAAACUAUGCCGACUAGGAAUCAGACGAUGUUAAUUUUUUAAUGACUCGUUUGGCACCUUACG
rnacentral:rRNA from 1 species